UGAGGAAUAUUGGUCAAUGGGGGGAACCCUGAACCAGCCAUCCCGCGUGCAGGAAGACAGUUCUAUGGAUUGUAAACUGCUUUUCCAGGGGGAGGAUUUUUCUGUCGUGACAGGAAUUGACGGUACCCUGGGAAUAAGCAUCGGCUAACUCCGUGCCAGCAGCCGCGGUAAUACGGAGGAUGCGAGCGUUAUACGGAUUUAUUGGGUUUAAAGGGUGCGUAGGCGGAUAGAUAAGUCAGUGGUGAAAACCUGCAGCUUAACUGUAGACUUGCCGUUGAUACUGUCAGUCUUGAGUAUGGUCAAGGUAGGCGGAAUGUGUAAUGUAGCGGUGAAAUGCUUAGAUAUUACACAGAACACCGAUUGCGAAGGCAGCUUGCUGGGCCAUUACUGACGCUGAUGCACGAAAGCGUGGGGAUCGAACA
rnacentral:rRNA from 1 species